UCGUGAGACAGUUCGGUCCCUAUCCGUCGCGGGCGUAGGAAAUUUGAGAGGAUCUGCUCCUAGUACGAGAGGACCAGAGUGGACUUACCGCUGGUGUACCAGUUGUCUUGCCAAAGGCAUCGCUGGGUAGCUAUGUAGGGAAGGGAUAAGCGCUGAAAGCAUCUAAGUGCGAAGCCCACCUCAAGAUGAGAUUUCCCAUGAUUUUAUAUCAGUAAGAGCCCUGAGAGAUGAUCAGGUAGAUAGGUUAGGAGUGUAAUUGUGGUGACACAUUUAGCGGACUAAUACUAAUAGCUCGAGGACUUAUCCAAAA
rnacentral:rRNA from 1 species